CACUUGUAAAACACUUGCCAAAAUAGCCAUUACAGAAAAAAUGAUCCAUUAUGUAUAGGAAGCUUGUGCAGGGUGGUACUACUAUGGGAACUGGAUUGAAUUCCAAAAAAGGGUAUGAAUUUUUCUGGGUUUUAAGCAAUGUCGCUUUAUGGCUAUUUGUCAGUGUGAUUUGUUGUGGUAGUUAUGUACUCAUCAUUUCUUACAAUCUUCAUAUCUGGGAUAUUGUUUCUUCUUUUCUUUGCUUUUUUGAGUUUACAUUUACCUUGAUAUUUGUUAAGGUUGAUACAUUUGUACUUCUUGUAAUGUCUCCUUCAGCAUAUCUCUUGUAAAAAUUGCUACUGCAAUAGCUGAUUGAUUCAUUUUUCUUUUACUGGCAAGAAACCAAAUAUUUCAGUGUAAGAAAAUGGGCGUUAGUGGUAUUAUUACAUUAAAAUGAUUUUAUGUUUUAUUGAUCUUCUCUAUAAUAUGAUUUUACAGGUAGAAAUGGUGGCAUUGAUAGGAAGAAGAUCAUUGCCAUAGGUUUGUUUCUUACAAACGAGAUUGCCGAGCUUGUGGCCAUGUUGAUUCUGUUGCGAGUAUUGUCCACUACUUUCAUAAAAUUUGUGUAAUUUCUGUUGCUUAUGUAGGUAUGAAAAGCCUUGCUCUCAGUCUCUUUGUUUGAUUGAGACAAAGAACCCAAGUUUGGCAAUUGUUUCAAAGAAG